rnacentral:rRNA from 1 species
UAGGGAAUUUUGCGCAAUGGGGGAAACCCUGACGCAGCGACGCCGCGUGAAUGACGAAGGCCUUCGGGUUGUAAAGUUCUGUCAGCAGGGACGAAUGUUAAGUGGUCCAAUAGGCCAUUUAAUUGACGGUACCUGCGGAGGAAGCACCGGCUAACUCUGUGCCAGCAGCCGCGGUAAUACAGAGGGUGCAAGCGUUAUUCGGAAUUACUGGGCGUAUAGCGCAUGUAGGUGGGUAAGAAAGUCAAUUGUGAAAUCCCGGAGCUUAACUUCGGAAUGGCAGUUGAAACUUCUUAUCUUGAGUUCGGAAGAGGGUAGUGGAAUUCUUGGUGUAGAAGUGAAAUUCGUAGAUAUCAAGAGGAACACCUGAGGCGAAGGCGGCUACCUGGUCCGAUACUGACACUGAGAUGCGAGAGCGUGGGGAGCAAACAGG